rnacentral:misc_RNA from 1 species
CACACGCUCUGCCCAUAACCCGGGCUGUUAGGCUGCUCACUGCCUGAGAUGACAAAAAACGAAAACGUCUCCCCCCUCUUCUUCUUCCUCCGCAACGAAGACCGACACAGCCAAGCAGCAAGGGACUGAGGUGUGCUCGGCUGCUCGCCUUUCGUGUGCUGCGAUCGUGUGGUCAGCUGGUCUGAUGAGGUAUAUAUGUGUAUAUAGUUUCAACGACAGAAUCGCACCUUCGGCGCUGGUGCAAAGCCGACACAGUCAUCCCCACCUCGUGUGAACGGCAGCCAAGGACACUUCAAGGAAAAGGAGGAGGGGCAUACCUUGGUGCUUGUUUCGCAAUGCAGAUAUGUAUCUAUAUCUUUAUAUAUAUAUGCGCUAAAGAAAACCCUCCUCCUCUGCCACCCCCCCUCCACCCCCUCUGUGUCUGUGUAUGUUGCACGGGAUGGUUUGCGCCUGGUUUCCGUUGGCCGUCAUCUCUGUUGCUCCCUUAUUCCCCAUCUCCCUGCAUACAUGCUCCCUUCUGUCGUCCAUCUCUCGUCUUCAUAG